rnacentral:lncRNA from 1 species
CGCAAAUAAGGAAACCGCUGCGUCACUUUGCUGCGAUGUAAACAAGCAAACAGCUGCAUCUGUUCGCUGCCUCACAAACACACUAACCGGUGCGUCUCUUCGCCACCUCACAGAACGAGUAACCACUGUGGAUGUUCGCUGUCUCACAAAAAAGCAGACUGCUGCGUCUGUUCGCUGCCUCGCCAGCUAGCCAAGUGCUGCCUCGCUUCACCUCCACGCCAAAAAGCAAUCCGCGAUGCAACCGCGCCACCUGCUGGACAAGCAAAGUGCUGCGUCUCUUCGCUGCCUUGCCGAAAAAUGAGCCACUCUGCACGUUGGCUGUCUCACAGACAAGCAGACUGAAUGAAUCUGUUCGCUGCCUCGCCAACAAGCAAAGCNCUCGAUCUCUUCGCUGCCUCGCAAACUAAGCAACCGAUGCG